AUAUAGCGAAUGAAGUAAUGAAC
rnacentral:sRNA from 1 species